rnacentral:rRNA from 1 species
AUUGAACGCUGGCGGCAGGCUUAACACAUGCAAGUCGAGCGGAGAUGAGGUGCUUGCACCUUAUCUUAGCGGCGGACGGGUGAGUAAUGCUUAGGAAUCUGCCUAUUAGUGGGGGACAACAUUCCGAAAGGAAUGCUAAUACCGCAUACGUCCUACGGGAGAAAGCAGGGGAUCUUCGGACCUUGCGCUAAUAGAUGAGCCUAAGUCGGAUUAGCUAGUUGGUGGGGUAAAGGCCUACCAAGGCGACGAUCUGUAGCGGGUCUGAGAGGAUGAUCCGCCACACUGGGACUGAGACACGGCCCAGACUCCUACGGGAGGCAGCAGUGGGGAAUAUUGGACAAUGGGGGGAACCCUGAUCCAGCCAUGCCGCGUGUGUGAAGAAGGCCUUAUGGUUGUAAAGCACUUUAAGCGAGGAGGAGGCUACUGAGACUAAUACUCUUGGAUAGUGGACGUUACUCGCAGAAUAAGCACCCGCUAACUCUGUGCCAGCCGCCGCUGUAAGAC